rnacentral:misc_RNA from 1 species
GGAAAAAAGACAUGUAUGGGUCUUUCAAUUUGGAAACACAUGGCAAACCAGCAUAAUUUUGUAAAAGAUAACAGUAGGAAAUGAGUUUUGUUCUUUUCCAAUAUCAAUAAAAAUUUGGAAUUUGGGAAAACUUUCUAUUUGGAAAAUAGUUAUAUCUGAAAGUGAACUCCAGGGCUUCUUUUCCUGCUGAAAAGAUUUUCAGAAAAUAGCAACAAUUUUCCACUACAAAACAACCCCUAAGGUUUUGAGAGCAAUUAGUAGUAUAGAAG